GCCGGGUGUCGUGGUGCUUGCCUGUAAUCCCAGUAACUUGGGAGGCUGAGGCAGGAGGAUUGCGAGUCCAAAAUCAGCCUCAGCAAUUUAGUGAGGCCCUAAGCAACUCAGUGAGACCCUGUCUCUA
rnacentral:sRNA from 1 species